rnacentral:rRNA from 1 species
UACAGAGGGUGCGAGCGUUGUUCGGAAUUAGCUAGGGCGUGAAAGGCGCGUAGGCGGCUCAAUCAGUCGGGCGUGAAAGCUCCUGGGCUUAACCCGAGAAAGGUCGUCGAUACUGUUGGGCUAGAGUGUGGAAGAGGCUACUGGAAUUCCGUGUGUACGCGGUGAAAUGCGUAGAUAUACGGAGGAACACCUGCGGCGAAGGCGGGUAGCUGGGCCAACAUUGACGCUGAGACCCGAAAGCAUGGGGAUCAAACAGG